AUUGAACGCUGGCGGCAUGCCUAACACAUGCAAGUCGAGCGGAUGAAGGGAGCUUUCUCCUGGCUUCAGCUGCCGACGGGCGGGUAAGUCACACGAAUCUACCCGGUCGUGGGGGAUAAGGUCCCGACAGGGGCGCUAAUACCAUAUACGAUCAUAUGGAGAAACGCAGGGAUCAUUGGUGAACGACGGUUUAGAUGUCACUUGGAGGUGGUUCCAGGCCGCAUUAGCUAGUUGGUAAGGUAACGGCGUACCAAGGCUACGAUGCGUAGCUGAUCUGAGAGGGUGAUCAGCCACACUGGAACUGAGACACGGUCCAGACUCCUACGGGAGGCAGCAGUAGGGAAUAUUGCGCAAUGGGCGAAAGCCUGAUGGAGCAAUGCCGCGUGUGUGAUGAAGGUCUUCGGAUCGUAAAGCACUGUAAUUAGGGAAGAACAAAAGUAAGAUAAUAUAUGGCUGUCUUGACGGUACCAACUGAGUAAGCCCCGGCUAACUACGUG
rnacentral:rRNA from 1 species